UGUUUAUCACAUGUUUUUGUUUAUAUUGGUUUGUGUUGAAUGCUAAAGUUAAAUUUAUUUAUUGUGAACUUUGAUAAAAAAUGAAGUUACGUGCGUGUUCUGUAGCCGGCUAAGGACAAGACAUCAAAUAUGCCAAGAUUUGAAAAGUGGAUUGAAGCUUGUGGUACAUUUUACGAAGGCAGAGGUUUUUAUCAAGUCUACAGGUUAUAAACAAUACUACACUGUUAAAUCCAUCCAAACAAAGCUCCACAAUGGAUGCAAGUGCAUCCUCAAUAACGCAAAAUGAAAUAUUAAUGGAAGCUGAAUCAACUACAUUAGGACCAGGUACCUUGAAGAAUGCUAUCCCAUCAAUAACCAUGCCUGAUGAAGAAAUUUUACCAUUUUCUUUUGGAGAUGAGGAAAAAGGUGUAUUGCAAGAAAUUGGAGUAAGUUACUGUCAAAAUUUUUUGCACACCUAGUGCAAAAACUAUGAGUACUCUAUUAUCUAGAGUUCCUGUACAACCAAGGAGUGUGGCCAAUGAUCUACAGCCUGAAGACAAAUGCUGCUCUUUGAUAUAGAAUGAAAUGAAGAUUCAUUCUCAUUUAUUUUUUAAUAAAUAUACUAUAGAAAUAAUUGGGUUUGAAGAACAAUGGAAUGAAUCAACAAAUUUGAUUUAACAAAUGGAAGCUUACUUAAUACUUUUGAUUUGAUCUGACAUAUUAAAAGUAUUUUAGCCAAAUGUGCUGAUUGUGAUCUUGAUGGCUAUCAAUCAAUUAAUAGCAAAAUCUAAGACAAAUGCUCUAAGGCAACUGAAUGGCGUGGUGAUAAUUGUUACAGAAUAAAAGACAAAACUUAUUUCCAUAUUUAUGAUCCACCACAUUUGCUAAAAGGUGUUCAUAACCGUUUAAUUUAAUUAAUAACAAUUCACUACAAAAUGGCAACACAUAUUGGAUGCAGACUACAUUGACAAUCCAUCAAAUGGAAAUUCGUGCCAUGCCAAAAUUAAAAGAUGACUAUGUAAUUCCUGGAAAAAUACGUGUCAUGAACGUGUCGUGUGGUAGCCAAACUUUCAGUUAUGGCAGUAUUUGUAUGAUCAGGUACAACUGGUGCAGAUGGAAGAAAACUGGAUCAGCCUGCAAUGGACACUAUAUAUAAUAAAUUUCCAUUUUUGAAAGAAUGCUAAAAAGAUCUGGUCUACAAUGAAAUUUGUAGACAAAAAAGGCAGCAAAUCAACACCUCCAUCUAUCAAGAACUGGAUUGUUACAUUAAACAGUUUGGAAGGCAUUUUCAAAUCAAUGAAUGAAAUCAAGAAAAGUAUGGUAUUUCAAGUUUAAAAACACGACUAUUGAAUCAGGAUUCAUUAGAGAAUUUCUUUGGACAAAUGAGGCAAUAUUCUGGACGAAAUGUCAAUCGGGCUGCAGUAAAUUUUAUUGGAAACUUCAAAAUAUUGCUGAUUAAUAAUUUCGUCAGUAGUCAUUCGCUAG